GAAGGGAUGACCAUAAGAGUGUGUUGGAUCAGGAACUGGAAUAGCUGAUAAGUACUGGGGACUGCUCUGUGCUGUUAUGAAUGUGAAAUCCUCGAAAUGUCCACUGUAAGCCCUACCACUCAUUUCCGUGAAGGCAGAUGGAGCAGGUGAGAACUGUUGAUUCUGGUCUACAUUAGAAGGCGAAAAAUUUUGAUCAUAGUAUCCAGAAAACUGCUGCUCAUUUGUUUCAGUUUUUGUGGUUGAAUAACUUUUUCUACUCUUUAUACUGCCUCUUGAUCCCCCAAGAUCCAGAUCCACUAUCUCAAUAUUCUUGUUGGAAUUUCUAUCCAUAUCCUACAGGCAUGGCGAUUUUUUUAUUUGUCAGUGAUAGAUCUAACAGACCGAUCAACAUUCAUGAAUGAGUUUGGUAAUGCAUUUUUUGAUGUAAUCUGUUAUUCAAAUAAUGCAGGCAUUGGAUUCAACUUACAUGCGAUUGUCUAGAUUGUGGGUGCUGUGGUGAUCUCCUGUGGAUGGACUGCCACUGUGGGAUAACCUGUGACUCUUCAGCCAUGCGGAUCCUCCGGGCUCGAGCUCGCUCUUGAGCUAUCACUAGAGCCUGCAUGCAACGAAGAGUAGCAGCAGCUUGCUUCCUGACAAGGUGUCCUCUUACCAAAGCUUGCAGCUUUACCAGGCCUCUCAAUGCACACAGAGCUUUUCUUGCCUGCGAUAAGAUUCAUUCUGAUACAUGAAGAUUUUCUUUCUCUAGCAUCAUAAGUUUUUCCUUAUUUUUAUAUAGAUUCCCAAAUAUUUGAUCCCAGCUUUUAGAACUUUUAAUUACAUGCAUUUUUCAGUCUGCUUAUGGCAUAUGCUUUGAAAUUCCUUUUCUUGCUUUACAUAGUGCUGCUGAUUCAUAUUCUUUUGUUGAAAAAAAUUUGGUUUUUCAGAAGAUAUUUGUUUCUUACAAGAAAAUGUUGUUGGUUUUUGCUUAUGAUGUAUUUUAUGUUGAUAUCAAUAGAUUCAUUAGAUUUGUUUUACUUGAUCUCGUGAUAAAUCAGAUUGCAGAAGCUAUGAUAUGUAUCAGUUUUUGUAUUUCUCAGGCUAGAUUUUCAUGUUGUUGAUAUUACCUCAUUGCAGAAGCUAUGACAGGUAUCAGUUGUUGCAGAAGCUAUGACAUGUAUCUCUUUUUAUUUCUCAGGCUAGAUUUUCAUGUUGUUGGUUUUCAGUCAUGAGCAAUUAACAUUUCACAGUUCAAUGUUUUUUCUUCUUUGAACAGACAAGCUAAAUUCAAUUAGAGAGAUUAGAGGAGUACCAGGUAGGCACGAAAAGCAGACUGAAUUUUGGUAGCUGCAUCUUCCUUGACAGCACUGGCUUUUUGUUUAGUGGCAGCGGUUGUGAGGCGUACUACAGCUGCUGCUGCCUGUGCCACAGCAACAGCAGCAUCAGCAGCUGCAGCUGUGGCCACUGCAACAGCCAUUGCAUGCCUUUUAUUGUCAAUCGCAACCUCCGACAGCCUCUGAAGUGGUGGCACACUUGUGCUCAGUUCUUGUGAACUUAAACUCUUCCCUGCACCUGCCCAUCUCGGAUAUCUCCAUCUCCUUUUCUCCUUGGGAGCAGGCACUGAGAUUGGUGAUGACUGACUAUUGAUUGGCAAUGGAGAGGAAAAUGA
rnacentral:lncRNA from 1 species